GAUGAACGCUGGCGGCGUGCCUAAUACAUGCAAGUCGAGCGAACGGACGAGAAGCUUGCUUCUCUGAUGUUAGCGGCGGACGGGUGAGUAACACGUGGAUAACCUACCUAUAAGACUGGGAUAACUUCGGGAAACCGGAGCUAAUACCGGAUAAUAUUUUGAACCGCAUGGUUCAAAAGUGAAAGACGGUCUUGCUGUCACUUAUAGAUGGAUCCGCGCUGCAUUAGCUAGUUGGUAAGGUAACGGCUUACCAAGGCAACGAUGCAUAGCCGACCUGAGAGGGUGAUCGGCCACACUGGAACUGAGACACGGUCCAGACUCCUACGGGAGGCAGCAGUAGGGAAUCUUCCGCAAUGGGCGAAAGCCUGACGGAGCAACGCCGCGUGAGUGAUGAAGGUCUUCGGAUCGUAAAACUCUGUUAUUAGGGAAGAACAUAUGUGUAAGUAACUGUGCACAUCUUGACGGUACCUAAUCAGAAAGCCACGGCUAACUACGUGCCAGCAGCCGCGGUAAUACGUAGGUGGCAAGCGUUAUCCGGAAUUAUUGGGCGUAAAGCGCGCGUAGGCGGUUUUUUAAGUCUGAUGUGAAAGCCCACGGCUCAACCGUGGAGGGUCAUUGGAAACUGGAAAACUUGAGUGCAGAAGAGGAAAGUGGAAUUCCAUGUGUAGCGGUGAAAUGCGCAGAGAUAUGGAGGAACACCAGUGGCUAAGGCGACUUUCUGGUCUGUAACUGACGCUGAUGUGCGAAAGCGUGGGGAUCAAACAGGAUUAGAUACCCUGGUAGUCCACGCCGUAAACGAUGAGUGCUAAGUGUUAGGGGGUUUCCGCCCCUUAGUGCUGCAGCUAACGCACUAAGCACUCCGCCUGGGGAGUACGACCGCAAGGUUGAAACUCAAAGGAAUUGACGGGGACCCGCACAAGCGGUGGAGCAUGUGGUUUAAUUCGAAGCAACGCGAAGAACCUUACCAAAUCUUGACAUCCUUUGACAACUCUAGAGAUAGAGCUUUCCCCUUCGGGGGACAAAGUGACAGGUGGUGCAUGGUUGUCGUCAGCUCGUGUCGUGAGAUGUUGGGUUAAGUCCCGCAACGAGCGCAACCCUUAAGCUUAGUUGCCAUCAUUAAGUUGGGCACUCUAAGUUGACUGCCGGUGACAAACCGGAGGAAGGUGGGGAUGACGUCAAAUCAUCAUGCCCCUUAUGAUUUGGGCUACACACGUGCUACAAUGGACAAUACAAAGGGCAGCGAAACCGCGAGGUCAAGCAAAUCCCAUAAAGUUGUUCUCAGUUCGGAUUGUAGUCUGCAACUCGACUACAUGAAGCUGGAAUCGCUAGUAAUCGUAGAUCAGCAUGCUACGGUGAAUACGUUCCCGGGUCU
rnacentral:rRNA from 1 species